rnacentral:rRNA from 1 species
AGUGAACGCUGGCGGUAGGCCUAACACAUGCAAGUCGAACGGCAGCACAGUAAGAGCUUGCUCUUACGGGUGGCGAGUGGCGGACGGGUGAGGAAUACAUCGGAAUCUACUUUUUCGUGGGGGAUAACGUAGGGAAACUUACGCUAAUACCGCAUACGACCUACGGGUGAAAGCAGGGGAUCUUCGGACCUUGCGCGAUUGAAUGAGCCGAUGUCGGAUUAGCUAGUUGGCGGGGUAAAGGCCCACCAAGGCGACGAUCCGUAGCUGGUCUGAGAGGAUGAUCAGCCACACUGGAACGGAGACACGGUCCAGACUCCUACGGGAGGCAGCAGUGGGGAAUAUUGGACAAUGGGCGCAAGCCUGAUCCAGCCAUACCGCGUGGGUGAAGAAGGCCUUCGGGUUGUAAAGCCCUUUUGUUGGGAAAGAAAAGCAGCAGGUUAAUACCCCGCUGUUCUGACGGUACCCAAAGAAUAAGCACCGGCUAACUUCGUA